rnacentral:rRNA from 1 species
GAUCAUGGCUCAGGAUGAACGCUAGCGGCAGGCUUAAUACAUGCAAGUCGAGGGGCAGCACGAAUAGCAAUAUUUGGUGGCGACCGGCGCACGGGUGCGUAACACGUAUACAACCUACCUAUAACGGGGGGAUAGCCUUUCGAAAGAGAGAUUAAUACCCCGUAAUAAAUUGAGUGGCAUCACUUGAUUUUGAAAGCUACUGCGGUUAUAGAUGGGUAUGCGUCUGAUUAGCUAGUUGGUGAGGUAACGGCUCACCAAGGCGACGAUCAGUAGGGGGAUCUGAGAGGACUAACCCCCCACACUGGUACUGAGACACGGACCAGACUCCUACGGGAGGCAGCAGUAAGGAAUAUUGGUCAAUGGAGGCAACUCUGAACCAGCCAUGCCGCGUGCAGGAUGACGGCCCUAUGGGUUGUAAACUGCUUUUGUACCAGAGAAAACCUACUCACGUGUGAGUAGCUGAUAGUAUGGUAAGAAUAAGCAUCGGCUAACUUCGUG